UAUGGCGAGGCUCCGGCGAUCUUGGCGGGCUGCUCUGCGUGCGCGCCGCGGAGACGAGCGCGGUAAAGAGAAACGGCCUCAAAACAAAGGAAUUCUUCCUCCAGCCCCUGGUGCAGGAUCCCAUCAUCCGACCUGCAACGCGCCAGUCAAGGAGCCUGCAGAGCGCCGCGCCAGUUGCAGACCCUAGCACGGGAGUGCGCGCUCCGCCUGCCCGCGGUGCGCGGAGACGACGGCGCGAUGCGGCUCCUCGCCACGCGGGAAGAAACGAGGACACUCCCCUUUCCCGGCGCCCAGAAGUGGCGGAGGUAGUGGCGGUGACGACGACGACCACUAGGGAGCCUUGCCCGUUUAAAUCCCCCAAGCGGCUCAGUCUGAACGAGGGGGUGUUUCCCGCAGUAGCGGCGCUGCGCUGCACGGCUCGGCCAGACGUGUUCCUGGCUGCGCUGGAGUGAAGAAGGCGCGAUUUGGCGGCGCUUGGCACCGACCGAGGCUUCCUUCCUGUGCGCUCGGGGAGGUGGCGCCGAGGAUAAAGGUUGAAACGGAACGAAAUUUCUCCUCGCUCCUGCGAGGGAAAUCUGCUUUGGAGAAGCCUGUCUGCCUGGCUGGUCCAAGCUGAGGUGGACGGAAGAUGCACAGUGAAUCGGUGAGAAAUGGAAUACCUUUUUGAAGCUGAUUGAAGAAAGUUCCCGUGCCAGCUUGCUGACCCAAGGGGGAGAUUGACGCAGAAUCUCCCCCUAAAAUGUUCUGAAAAUGUACAGUAUUGCCAUUAAUUUAUUCCACUGAAAUAACUGCAGAAAUAUAUUCUGGAAUGACUACAUUCAAUGCUCACUGAUAGUCAAUAAUUAUUAUUAUUACUCUAAUAAAGGACCACAUUCUCAAGUCCAUUGAAGGAACACUGAGGAUGCCAUCGAUCACAAGAGCUUCAGGUGAGAAUGGGACUGUCGGCGAGGUCGAGGCGCGCUGCGGGGAGAUGGAGAUGGCGCAGCCGACGCAGCUAGCGUCCCCGAGGAAAACUGCGGGCGCCGAGCAAGCGGCGGCCAGGAGCAGCCCACCGUCCGCCCCGAUGGAACGGCGCGCUGCGGCAGACGGCGAGGACGGCAUCCUCAGC